rnacentral:lncRNA from 1 species
ACUAGAGCCAAAUCUAUCUCAAAAGUUUGGGACACUAAUUUUUGUCUAUUUUGUUAAUACUCAAUGAGAAAGUACACUUAGAAUUAAUUAAAACUUUUUCGAUGAAUAAGGGAUAGUAAUAUCCAC